GUCGGGAAUUUUGGGCAAUGGGCGAAAGCCUGACCCAGCAACGCCGCGUGAAGGAUGAAGUAUUUCGGUAUGUAAACUUCGUAAGAAUAGGAAGAAUAAAUGACGGUACUAUUUGUAAGGUCCGGCUAACUACGUGCCAGCAGCCGCGGUAAUACGUAGGGACCAAGCGUUGUUCGGAUUUACUGGGCGUAAAGGGCGCGUAGGCGGCGUGGUAAGUCAGCUGUGAAAUCUCCGAGCUUAACUCGGAACGGUCAGCUGAUACUGCUGUGCUAGAGUACAGAAAGGGCAAUCGGAAUUCUUGGUGUAGCGGUGAAAUGCGUAGAUAUCAAGAGGAACACCUGAGGCGAAGGCGGGUUGCUAGGCUGAUACUGACGCUGAGGCGCGAAAGCUAGGGUAGCAAACGGGAUUAGAAACCCCUGUAGUCC
rnacentral:rRNA from 1 species